rnacentral:rRNA from 1 species
UCUGGUAAUGAUGACACUUAGGGUAAUACCUGUUCCCAUUCCGAACACAGAAGUCAAGCCUAAAUGUGCCGAAAAUACUUGCGGGUUACCCUGCUGAAGAUAGGUUGUUGCCAGAU